rnacentral:sRNA from 1 species
AUGUGGUACCGUCUGCUGGCGGCGGCCGGCAGUAGAGCGGUGGCCGGGCCGCUGGCCUUGUUGUGGCGAUGUGGUGGCCCAGGAGGCGGCAGGACGGCCAAGACCAGCGCGAGGGCCCUGGGCAAGGCCCGACAGUGGUUGUGGCCAGUGAGAAUGUGCAGUGUUGUAUUGCAGAAGAAGCUAGUAAAGCUCAUCUGGUCUCUUGUUUCAGUGCUUCCAGGGGAUCCACUUUCAGAAGCUGACUCUGCAGGCAAGACCGACGUUAUUUUCCCGGUGGCUGUGUUCAAAACCACCCAAAGGGUUUGAGAAAUACUUUAAGAGGAGUGGAAGGAACACAAACUGAGAAACAUCAACAGCACCAAAAAAAGAGACUGGUGAACUAGAGAAUGCUGAGUCUGGAGGAGACGGAGGCAGGAGAGGAGGGAAGCGGGAUAACGUUGCCUGGUGGAGGCGGAUGCAGAAGGGGGGACUUCCCCUGGGGUGACGAGGAUUUCCGCAGUCUGGCCCUUUUAGGGGCAGGCGUUGCCGUGGGAUUUUUCUACCUCUAUUUUCGAGAUCCUGGAAGAGAAAUCACUUGGAAGCACUUUGUACAGUAUUACCUGGCCAGAGGUCUGGCGGACCGGCUGGAAGUUGUGAACAAACAAUCUGUGCGUGUUAUUCCUGCCCCUGGGACCUCUUCUGAAAAGUUCUUGUGGUUUAACAUUGGCAGCGUUGAUACCUUCGAGCGGAACCUGGAGUCUGCUCAAGGGGAGCUGGGGAUCGAGCCCCACAACCAGGCAGUGGUAGUCUACACCAGCGAGAGUGAUGGGGUUCAACUCUGCCACCAACGUCGUGGUGUUGGCUGGCACCAACCGCCCUGACGUCCUGGACCCGGCCCUCAUGCGGCCUGGCUGGUUUCAUCGCCAGAUUUACACUGGUCCUCCUGACAUCAAAGGCAGGUCCUCCAUCUUUAAGGUCCACCUGCGCCCACUGAAGCUGGACGAGAGCCUCAAUAAGGACGCCCUGGCGAGGAAGCUGGCAGCGCUCACCCCAGGCUUCCCUGUGCUGAUAUUUCGAAUGUUUGCAAUGAAGCAGCCCUGAUUGCUGCCCGGCAUCUGAGUUCUUCUGUUCACGAGAAACACUUUCAGCAGGCCAUUGAGAGGGUCAUCGGAGGUCUUGAGAAGAAGGCCCAGGUCCUGCAGCCGGGUGAAAAGACAACUGUGGCCUACCACGAGGCCGGACACGUGGUGGUGGGCUGGCUCCUGGAGCACGUGGACCCCCUGCUGAAGGUGUCCAUCAUACCCCAGGGCAAGGGGCUUGGCUACGCACAGUACCUGCCCCGGGAGCAGCAGCUCUACACCCAGGAGCAGCUCUUCGACCGCACGUGCAUGAUGCUCGGGGGCCGGGUGGCCGAGCAGCUGUGCUCCGGGUAGAUCACUGUGGGGGCUCAGGACGACCUGAGGAAGGUCACCCAGAGCGCCUACGCCCAGGUAAGGGUGGGCAUCCCCCGGCACGGGCCGCAGGAGGCUCUGUUGGGCGCAGGCUCAUCCUGGGUUCCGCACUGGCAGGUUGCGCAGUUUGGGGUGAGUGAGAAGCUGGGCCAGGUGUCCUUCGACUUUUCCCGACACGGCAAGGCCCUGGUGGAGAAGCCGUACGGCGAGGCGAGCGCCCAGCUCCUUGAUGACGAGGUCCGGCACCUCGUCAGUGCCACCUGCAGGCGCACCCUGGACCUGCUGACACAGUGCCGGGAGCAUGUGGAGAAGGUGGGCCAGCGGCUCCUGGAGAAGGCAGACAUGGUGGAGCUGCUGGGCGCCCGGCCCUUCGCGGAGAAGUCUACCUAUGAGGAGUUUGUAGAGGGCGCGGGCAGCCUGGAGGAGGACACAUCCCUUCCCGAGGGGCUGAAGGGUUGGAACCGUGGACAGGAGGAGGAAGGUGUGGAGAGCAGCCUGUGCAGGGGCUCUGCGUAG